UUCACGCAUAAAUCUCUCAUUACUCAGCCAUUCACUAAGGAAUCUGACUAAAUGUCUAUCAACACCUUCAUUUUGGAAUGCAGCCAAUGGCAUCCUGUCUGUCUAAUAUACGAAGCCCCUCCCCCUCCGCCCCUAAACAAAAUAUGUUGUCGUAGUCCACCUAAUAAACAAACAAAUGUUUUCCUUUACAUAAAAAGUAUCUGGUCUCUCAAGGGUGGCUUCUCCUCGUGAUUUCCCUUCUUCUUCUUUCAUUUUUAUUUUUUUAACUUCCAGUAAUGAGUUACAGAUUAAGCCCCAUACUUGAUUUUCACUGUUCAUUAACUAAGCCACCUGGAAUGUUAUUAUUUAAGCAUGACAUUUCUUCUCCCCCAACAACUGCCACUGCGAGCAGGAGAUUUCCAGGCCAACUUUAUAGAUUCCUCAUAACUUCCUCUCAGUUUUAAUUUCCCAUUCGUGUGCGGAACAGAUGCACCUCACCAGCCAACCCAAGGACCUCGUUGACAUUCCACUUGUGUCUGCCAUCUUAAAAACAACUACCGCUUAUCAUACCAGGCCUUGGAGGAGAGAUGACAACAUGCAUGCCAUGAAAAAUCAGGACAGAUGAUGCGGCCAUCUUGAGAUCGUUUGUCAUCUGUCAGCCUCCGUUGACCUUGCAACAAACAGAGAGGUGCUGAUACCAUCUUUACGGAAAAGGAGCGCUGUUGUUUUUUGGUGGACCUUGAGGUGGUGGGAGGUGCGGAAGGUCUUCCCACAGUAGGGGCAGUCCUUGAUGGCCGAGCCCAGGCUCCUGUCCCUGUGCUGGGAGGGGGCCUGCUGAACACUCCCUGCUGUCUUCCCCAGGUCAUCCCCGACAUCUUGAGCAACAAGAGAGAGACACACACAGACACACACAAAGGAGGAGCGUCAGGGUGCCCGUAAAUCCAAAGACCAAGGACGUUUCCCGUUUUCCUCUUAUAUGAACUUGUCCAGUGUCUCGGAAAAUGAAAUAAAAAGAUUUAUACUGCUGCUCCAAACACCGGUGUGUCUCGUGAGUGAGCCAUACUAUCAGAAUACAUUAGAGAAAGGCCAGAUUUUGGCAAAGUGGUAUUAAAACAGUGGCCCUCCCCACAGCUCUACCUCCUCUUCAACAGUCCCUCAGGGUUAAACUAGCUCAGUCAAAAUGACACCACUAAUCAGGAUAAUACUAAUAAUUGCCUUGUAUUAUAAAGCAAGAACCAAAUCGAAAUGUGAUUUCUUUCCGCUGUAAAUCCCCAAAAAAGGAGAUCCAUGCCAAUGAAUGAAAAAUAAAAACCUGCCUCCCUCCUUCAGUCUGCGGUGUCUCAGAACCAAAUCCCAUGCUGUCCUCUCCCCUUCUCUACUCGUCCCAUAGCACCCAGUCCACCCAGUUUACACAGGCAAUGCCACGCCUCACACAUACCCCUAUUAAAGAGCACGCUCUGUUCCACUGGCGGAAUGUUCAUCUGUUAUGAAGGUCAUUGACAGAGAGUAAUAAUCACCAUUGGGGAUCUCACAAUUUGCCAUUUCAGAGCAUUGCAGCAGCGCUGAUGACUCAACUAUUAAUAGACUCCCCCUGCCUUAUACGAGU